rnacentral:rRNA from 1 species
UCCUACGGGGGGCGGCAGUAGGGAAUCUUCCACAAUGGGCGCAAGCCUGAUGGAGCAACACCGCGUGAGUGAAGAAGGGUUUCGGCUCGUAAAGCUCUGUUGUUGGGGAAGAAUGUGCGCGAGAGUAACUGUUCACGCAGUGGCGGUAUCCCCACAGAAAGUCCCGGCUAACUCCGUGCCAGCAGCCGCGGUAAUACGGAGGUGGCGAGCGUUAUUCGGAUUUAUUUGGUUUAA